rnacentral:lncRNA from 1 species
GAGCAGUAUCUCAUUUCUGAAAACCUGGAUUGUAGCUUUCCCUGGGCUGACUGUCAAAGGAGGUGGUUUUAAAAAGCAAGCCAAACAGGUUUCCAUCCUUUAGGAAGACCCUGGAACGUGCCAGUUGAUUCUGACAAUUUCUCAUGAACAGAAACACCUAGGAAGGGAGAACUGGGCCCGCCUGGCAGGACGACUGAGCAAGUCCUUGGAAAACCAGAGAUAUUAGAGCGGUGAAUCGCGCUGGUCACGUUGGACACCUGCGCGUUAGGAGAUUCUGGAGCCAGAGGGAGAGACCCCAGAAACUCCCCGGUCGGCGACCCAGCCCGAGACGCCUGGGGUCCCAAGGGAAGCUGAACGCCCGGUGGGCUCCCGGGAUGGUUCUUCCGGUUCUUUGUGCCGCCUUCACCCAGUGAAGGAGCCUGUAUCCACCCUGCCCAGUCGCUGUUGGGCUGCUGCGGAGCUUCCGCUGCCAUCUUCGGAUCCUGUGUUCCGCCCGGGGCUCCACCAGGGCAGGGAUGGUGAAUGGGGAAAUGGAGAGAGAACCUGAAAGAGCCCCAAACUCGAGGACCUAUUGCUCCCCAAGAAUAACAUCUUCCAGAACUAGACAGAAAACUAGGCGUCUGGGAACCCUGAAAUCCUUGGAGGAGUAGAUCAUCAUGACCCUCUGUGUUCCUUUUGGCAAAUGACUUGCUUCCAUUGUUUGUUUGUUCAAUUGUCUGUUUGUUAAAUAAAUAAAACCCUUUUCAUGUAUCUUUAAAAUUACA